rnacentral:rRNA from 1 species
UACGGGGGGGGGCAAGCGUUGUUCGGAAUUACUGGGCGUAAAGGGCUCGUAGGUGGCCAACUAAGUCAUACGUGAAAUCCCUCGGCUUAACCGGGGAACUGCGUCUGAUACUGGAUGGCUUGAGGUUGGGAGAGGGAUGCGGAAUUCCAGGUGUAGCGGUGAAAUGCGUAGAGAUCUGGAAGAACACCAAAGGCGAAGGCAGCGUCCUGGCUCGUAUCUGACGCUCAUGUGCGAAAGCUAGGGGAGCGAACGGG